CCUUGACCUUAGCCUCAGCGAAUUGUACUUAUAUUGAUCUGCGCUUGAAGGAAUCUGUCGCAGAACGUUGAAUAAAUUGUGCUUUAAUAGCAAUAAUAAGUAUACGUUAAAGAGUGCGUACAAUUGGCGCACAAAAUGUUGAUGUACAAGCUGGAUCAGUAGAUUUUAAAAAAUUUGUUUUUAUAUAUUAGAGGAAAUUGUGUAAGGAAUGUGUUGUCUAUGUAUAAGCAAUAUGUUUACUUAUCUUUUAUAUGAAAUUUAUAUUUAUGCAAGGUGAAUCACCUUACGUUAGAUUUUAAAAUAUCUCUGUUGCUUUUUAUAUCUAAAGAGAACACGCAUGGGAUAAAUUAUGCAGUUGGAAGGGCUGCCUUUGAUCACAAUAUUUAUUUCUUCCGACCACACAAUUUAUUCCUCAUAUAUUUUCCUAUGAUAUAAAAAACAACAGAGAUAUUUUAAAACGUAAAAGGUCACUCACCAUAUAGACAUAUAUUUCACAUAAAAAAGUAAAUAAACAUAUCGUUUAUGAAUUGCUUAAUGAGCAGAAAACCUUUGCAUACAGAGCAAAUUUUAUAGAGAAAAUUACUGUAGAACUUUGUAACAGAGAAAUAAAUCGACAUUCUGUGACAAUCCUUUAUCCUUUCAUUUCACAUAUACUACAUAUAUUCAAGGAACAAAAUUAUGUGCUAAUUAAAACAUUCGUUAUGUUUCCAGCAAAACUUGCUAUAUUCCUUAGCAAGAUAGACCUUAUUGACAGUCAGUUUUCCUGGACUACUAGAAACACAGUAAAAUUAUGAAGAAUUCAUAUUUGAAGGAAAAAAAGAAACCCAUAUAAUAUUCUCUCUAUGAACAUGAUAUGUUAACGUCGGCCGAAGCGAUUACAGCUGGGUGCAGUGUCGAAAUUGAAUGUUACAUACGUACGUACCUGCGCGUGUUCUCGCGUAAACACCUAGUUCGUCGAGAGGACUGUGCACGCUCCACGGAACUCCGACCAAUAACGGAGAUCCGGUGGCAUGACACCGUCGACAGAGCAGUACUCCGUCAUCGCGAACACGACAAGAAGCAGCUUUCUGUCCUCCGUUUUCUCAAGACUAAUACAUUUUCGUCGUUCGAUCAACUACACAUUUUUAUCUCUUACUUGUCUUACGGCGUCGUUAAUUAACGACGUGUCCAGCGCCAGAGGGGGAAUUAUUCACUCGGAUCUUUCGCGGAAAGCAAAUUAAUUCGGAUGAAACCAAUCAGUUGCGUAAUAUUGCAUCGAGAGGCAGCGAAAUUAUGCAAAAUUUUAAACCAAACCGACAUUAGCCGAGAACAAUGGAAAAUGGAGAGAGAAAGAGAGAGAGCGGGACAAUGAGAAGGUAUUUUAAGCUAUUCGAGUAUCCAUUACCGGUGAGACGAGAUUUAUUAUCUCGUCAAAAUAACACUAGCUCAUCCCUGCUUAUGUGUGUGUAUGUGUGGAGGAUUAACGAACACGAGCGCAGGCGUGACGCCUUUGAUGCUGUACUUAAUAAAUUGAGUCGUUAGAAGUUCGGGCGGAACACACAGCGCAAAUAAUCCACGGUGACAUACGCAAACUGUCACGGCGGUGCCGCAGUCGCUGAAAAAUCAAACGAUGUACGCGUGCAUACGCGACAUUACUCGCGAAUACAUGAAGGCGUGUCGCGCCGCGAAUUGCCCCUUUGAAAUAUUCAGUCGAAUAGUUGAAGUCACACCGAAAAUAAAACUCGACUACGCGUACAAUACUUAUAUUUAAAAAAAAUUUACUUGCGAUAUCGCAGUUGCGAUCAUAAAAACCCGCGGCGGUCACAGAACGUGACAGAUUGUGAUGAGAAAUUUGCAUGUGUGAAAAGGAGUUUUCCCAAAUAUUUCAUGAAAAAUCGUGAAUAUACGAUCGAAUCGACUAUCAAUCAUUUUUGCUGCACAAGAUUCCGAUAAUGCCUUCUUCCAUCCGGUUAAAAUAUUUUGGCAUUGUAUUUGCAUAUGUCAAUUAUUCUCAAAACCAGCAAUCAUGAUAUACGAUGCCCAUACUAAAAUAUCCUAGCUGAAAAUAGAAGAUAUUAUUGGAGUCCUGUGUAACUGAUUCGUUCAUCUGCGCCGAUUCGUUUCCGAUAGCUAAGACAAACUUCUCUCAUUGCUGCAAUCUUUCUUUAAAGUGCUGAAUUUAAUAC